rnacentral:rRNA from 1 species
AGAGCAUGUGUUAAUUCGAUGAUACGCAGGAACCUUACCUGGGCUCGAACGUAAGAUGACUGUAAGGUGAAAGCUUUACAUCUCUUCGGAGCAUUUUACGAGUGCUGCAUGGUUGUCGUCAGCUCGUGCCGUGAGGUGUCGGGUUAAGUCCCAUAACGAGCGCAACCCUACCUUAGUUGCCAUCAGGUAAUGCUGGGGACUCUAAAGGAACUGCCUACGCAAGUAGUGAGGAAGGCGGGGAUGACGUCAAAUCAGCACGGCCCUUACGUCCAGGGCUACACACGUGCUACAAUGGCCGAUACAGAGGGCAGCUACCUGGUGACAGGGAUGCAAAUCUCCAAAGUCGGUCUCAGUUCGGAUCGGAGUCUGCAACCCGACUCCGUGAAGUUGGAUUCGCUAGUAAUCGCGCAUCAGCCAUGGCGCGGUGAAUACGUUCCCGGGCCUU